rnacentral:rRNA from 1 species
GUGUCAGCCGCCGCGGUAAUACGUAGGGUGCGAGCGUUAAUCGGAAUUACUGGGCGUAAAGGGUGCGCAGGCGGCUUGCUAAGACAGGUGUGAAAGCCCCGAGCUUAACUUGGGAAUGGCGCUUGUGACUGGCAGGCUGGAGUGUGGCAGAGGGAGGUGGAAUUCCACGUGUAGCAGUGAAAUGCGUAGAGAUGUGGAGGAACACCGAUGGCGAAGGCAGCCUCCUGGGCCAACACUGACGCUCAUGCACGAAAGCGUGGGGAGCAAACAGGAUUAGAAACCCCCGUAGUCC